rnacentral:rRNA from 1 species
UACGGGGGGUGCGAGCGUUGUCCGGAAUCACUGGGCGUAAAGGGUGCGUAGGUGGCCAGGUAAGUUCGGUGUGAAAGCUCGGAGCUUAACUCCGAAAUGGCAUUGAAUACUAUCUGGCUAGAGGGUCGGAGGGGAGACUGGAAUUCUCGGUGUAGCAGUGAAAUGCGUAGAUAUCGAGAGGAACACCAGUGGCGAAGGCGAGUCUCUGGACGACACCUGACACUGAGGCACGAAAGCCAGGGGAGCAAACAGG